CUUUGGUCUCAGCAUCCUUCAGGUCCACGUCGGUCUCCUCCGUGUUCAUACCGGCGAUGAUCCGGUACCGAUCCGGAUGUGAGAAUCACACAGCGGCUUAGCGUCAGAGCUGGCCAGAUGUUGACACUGCAGGAGAUCAGAGAGCAGCACGUGUGACGCUUCACAACAGCAUGAAGCAGAGAAAAGGUGGAGAACCACAUCAGACCAAAGACACCAUCAGCCCCCACCUGUGACGUAGAUGUACUGUCAUAGUAGUAGAGUACUAGUACUAGUACUACAUCUUGUUCAUUGCAACGAGACAAAGGAGUCAACAUUAAAUAACUUGUUUCAUGUUUUUCACAUGUCUGUUAUUUCAUAUCCCACCGUCUGCGUUUGUUGCUGACACACAUCUUACGUUUGAAUGUUUAAUGUUAAUUGGUGUUCUAGUGUUUGUUCUUUUGUACUUCCUGUAAUAAAAGGUCUUUGAUUGAAGAACUGA